rnacentral:rRNA from 1 species
UACGGGGGGAGCAAGCGUUGUUCGGAUUUACUGGGCGUAAAGGGCGCGUAGGCGGCCACCGCAAGUCAGUUGUGAAAUCUCUGGGCUUAACCCAGAACGGUCAGCUGAUACUGCGGGGCUAGAGUGCAGAAGGGGCAACUGGAAUUCUCGGUGUAGCGGUGAAAUGCGUAGAUAUCGGGAGGAACACCAGUGGCGAAGGCGGUUUGCCUGGGGC